AAGUCGUAACAAGGUUUCCGUAGGUGAACCUGCGGAAGGAUCAUUACCGAGAUAGGGUCUUAAGGCCCGACCUCCAACCCUCUGUAUAUAUACCAAUGUUGCCUUGGUAAGCCGUCGGCUUGUCCGCCUCUGGUCAUUAGACCUCUGAGUGUUUACCAAUGGAUUUUAUAAAACCCUUCAAAAUCAGCCUUCUGAGUGAGAAUUAAAUACUUCAAAACUUUCAACAACGGAUCUCUUGGUUCUG
rnacentral:misc_RNA from 1 species